GGUGGGUCCGAGUGCAGUGGUGUUUACAACUAAUUGAUCACAACCAGUUACAGAUUCCUUUGUUCCUUCUCCACUCCCACUGCUCCACUUGACCAGCUUUAA
rnacentral:Y_RNA from 1 species